rnacentral:rRNA from 1 species
GACGAACGCUGGCGGCGUGCUUAACACAUGCAAGUCGAACGGUAAGGCUCCAGCUUGCUGGGGUACACGAGUGGCGAACGGGUGAGUAACACGUGGGUGACCUGCCCUGCACUUCGGGAUAAGCCUGGGAAACUGGGUCUAAUACCGGAUAGGACCGCACCGUGAGGGUGGGGUGGAAAGUUUUUUCGGUGUGGGAUGGGCCCGCGGCCUAUCAGCUUGUUGGUGGGGUAAUGGCCUACCAAGGCGGCGACGGGGAGCCGGCCUGAGAGGGUGGACGGCCACCUUGGGACUGAGACACGGCCCAGACUCCUACGGGAGGCAGCAGUGGGGAAUAUUGCACAAUGGGCGGAAGCCUGAUGCAGCGACGCCGCGUGGGGGAUGCCGGCCUUCGGGUUGUAAACUCCUUUCACCAUCGACGAAGGGUUUCUGACGGUAGAUGGAGAAGAAGCACCGGCUAACUACGUG